CCUGAACUCACUAUGUAGGCCAGGCUGGCCUCAAACUCACGGUGAUCCUCCUGCCUCAGCCUUCUGAGUGCUGGGAU
rnacentral:miRNA from 1 species